AACGCACAUUGCGCCUAUUGGUAUUCCAAUAGGCAUGCCUGUUCGAGCGUCAUUUUACACCUUCAAGCCUUGCUUGGUGUUGGGUGCUGUCUCAGUUGUAAAAUCUGCAGACUCACCUUGAAUUCAUUGGCAGUCAGCAAUUGGGUGUUGGAACGCAGCACAUUUCGCGUUCUCAGCCACAGUUAUUGGCGUCCAAGAAGCUUAUUUUAACGUUUGACCUCGGAUCAGGUAGGGAUACCCGCUGAACUUAA
rnacentral:misc_RNA from 1 species